rnacentral:rRNA from 1 species
CGAACGCUGGCGGCGUGCUUAACACAUGCAAGUCGAACGGCCCGCCCUGACAGAAUCCUUCGGGAUGACGUGAGGAUCCGGGCAGUGGCGGACGGGUGAGUAACGCGUGGAGAACCUGUCCACUGGACCGGGAUAACCUGGCGAAAGCCGGGCUAAUCCGGGAUGAGCUUCAGGGGUAGCAUUACCCCUGAAGGAAAGGUGGUGAAUGCCAUCGCCAGGGGGUGGCUCCGCGUCGGAUUAGCUAGCUGGUGGGGUAACGGCUCACCAGGGCGACGAUCCGUAGCUGGUCUGAGAGGACGAUCAGCCACACUGGGACUGAGACACGGCCCAGACUCCUACGGGAGGCAGCAGUGGGGAAUCUUCCGCAAUGGGCGCAAGCCUGACGGAGCAACGCCGCGUGAGUGAAGAAGGCCUUCGGGUCGUAAAGCUCUGUCCUCAGGGAAGAAACUUUAAUAGAGGAAAUGCUAUUAAACUGACGGUACCUGAGGAGGAAGCCCUGGCUGACUACGUGCCAGCAGCCGCGGUAAUACGUAGAGGGCAAGCGUUGUCCGGAAUCACUGGGCGUAAAGGGUACGUAGGCGGAUAUUUAAGUCAAAUGUGAAAUGUAUCGGCUCAACCGGUGAUGUGCAUUUGAAACUGGAUAUCUUGAGUACAGGAGAGGAGAGCGGAAUUCCUGGUGUAGCGGUGGAAUGCGUAGAUAUCAGGAAGAACACCAGUGGCGAAGGCGGCUCUCUGGUCUGAGACUGACGCUGAAGUACGAAAGCUGGGGGAGCGAACGGGAUUAGAUACCCCGGUAGUCCCAGCCGUAAACGAUGGACACUAGGUAUUGGGGGUUC